AUCUGAUCCUUUUCGGAGGUGACGAUAAUGGAAUGAGCGGCGGACGGUGAGUAACACGUAGGCAACCUGCCUGUAAGACUGGGAUAACUCGUGGAAACGCGAGCUAAUACCGGAUAACACUUUUCAUCUCCUGAUGAGAAGUUGAAAGGCGGCUUUUGCUGUCACUUACAGAUGGGCCUGCGGCGCAUUAGCUAGUUGGUAAGGUAACGGCUUACCAAGGCGACGAUGCGUAGCCGACCUGAGAGGGUGAUCGGCCACACUGGGACUGAGACACGGCCCAGACUCCUACGGGAGGCAGCAGUAGGGAAUCUUCCGCAAUGGACGAAAGUCUGACGGAGCAACGCCGCGUGAGUGAUGAAGGUUUUCGGAUCGUAAAACUCUGUUGUUAGGGAAGAACAAGUGCCAUAGUAACUGAUGGCACCUUGACGGUACCUAACCAGAAAGCCACGGCUAACUACGUGCCAGCAGCCGCGGUAAUACGUAGGUGGCAAGCGUUGUCCGGAAUUAUUGGGCGUAAAGCGCUCGCAAGCGGUUCUUUAAGUCUGAUGUGAAAUCUUACGGCUCAACCGUAAACGUGCAUUGGAAACUGGAGGACUUGAGUGCAGAAGAGGAGAGUGGAAUUCCACGUGUAGCGGUGAAAUGCGUAGAGAUGUGUGAGGAACACCAGUGGGGAAGGCGACUCUCUGGUCUGUAACUGACGCUGAGGAGCGAAAGCGUGGGGAGCGAACUGGAUUAGAUACCCUGGUAGUCCACGCCGUAAACGAUGAGUUUUAGGUGUUAGGGGGUUUCCGCCCUUUAGUGCUGAAGUUAACGCAUUAAGCACUCCGCCUGGGGAGUACGGCCGCAAGGAUGAAACUCAAAAGAAUUGA
rnacentral:rRNA from 1 species